UUAGAACAGUAUGUAGCAAUAAUAGCCCUCAACAAAUAUUAUUUGACAAACUGAUUCUUUGAAAAAUCUUUUCAUUCCUUUGCCAUAGAGUUUAUUCUGAAGUGUUUAAUAAAGUGUCACAUUACAGGAAUAUAGCAAUGGCAAUAGAAUUCCAACAUGUUUUCAGGUAACAAGUUGUAGAGAAGCCCAAUGGAGAAUAGCCUGAUCUACUCAAUAGGUGGCCAGAAAUCAGCACAGGGAAAGUGUUUCAAGUUGCUGAGGGACUAAAAGAUAAAAGUGUGUGUGAUCACUUCUGUUUGGGAGUUGGUAUUAGAGAAAGAUGUUAGGUAGAAGUAUUACUUGGAUUGAAUCAUUCAAGGUUUUAUCAUAGACUCUCAGGACCUUAUUUCAGAGCUGGUAGAAAGUCUUCCUUCCGGCUGCUAAGAGGAUGUCUUAUAUAAUGCAACAUGAUUGUGAGUAUGACACUUCCUCAUCUUUGUAAUACUCUGUUGGUUAGAAGCCUGCACUGAAAGGGAAAAGAUAUACAAUCAAUGGUGUGACGCAUUGGAGAGUCACCUUAGAGUAUGUGCACAAUUUACAC
rnacentral:lncRNA from 1 species